CGAUCUGGGCCCCCUCCAGACCCCCAGGACUCUGACUAAGAGCUAUGGAAUGAGCCUGCAGAAGAGGGAGUGAGAGAUACAGAGACUUGAAUAGAGAUGUAUCACAUAUCACACCCACCAUGAAACAUGGGAAAUAUCAAGCGUUCUCGACUUUAAAUAACUCUAAGGUCCAGGUUUAAAAAACCAUUAGACUGAGGAUGUCAAAAACACAACCACUGGGCAACUAUGGCUUGUGGAGGAAUACAGUGUCAUGUAAUGUAAUGCCUUUUCAGAAGACUAGAAGCUGUUAAAGUCACAAAAAGGGAAACUAACUCCAUAAUAAUGUCUCCAUAUGAUCAGGUAUCCCAAAACUUUUGCCCAUUUAGUGUAUGUGUGUGCCAUCUAAAGGCCUCUGAUGGAUGAAAUUAAUAAACUAUAUAUGCUU